rnacentral:rRNA from 1 species
UGUCAUCCGAAAGGAAGGGAACCCGGUGAACUGAAACAUCUAAGUAGCCGGAGGAAAAGGAAUCAACAGAGAUACCCUCAGUAGCGGCGAGCGAACGGGGCAGAGCCCAAACCGGAGCGGGAAACCGCUUCGGGGUUGCGGACUGCUAACAAAUGGUUGGACGAAGCAGAACCAGUUGGGAAACUGGGCCAGAGACGGUGAGAGCCCGGUAAGCGUAAGGAAGACCAUGGAGCAGGAUCCAGAGU